GAUUUCGUGGUGUAACGGUAGCACACUCGGCCGUAUUCGAGAAGGCCAGGUUCGAGUCCCGGUGAGAGCA
rnacentral:tRNA from 1 species